GUGGCGCGUCCAGGCCCGGCCCCGCGGCGAGGAGAGCGGCUCGCUCGGCUCCCUCCGCCUCCCGGGAAAGGCCCGGCCCCGCGAUAAGAGCUGCUGCUGGUGCCUCACGCCUUCCUUCCCCUCGGGCCAGCCCGGCUCCUGGGCCUCGCUGUCUCCGCGCUUAACCCCGGCGGGAGGCCAGGGCGCUGCGGCAGCAGGGAGCCGGGCCUGCGACAGGCAGCGGCCUCCCCCGCGGGAGAGAGCUGGAGGGGAACGGGAGCCCUGGAGACAGCGGGGCCCUAAUUAGUGAUCCCCUAACGUGAGGGGGCAGCAGCUCGGUCACACACACUGCACAGGAGGGGGCGGAUAUGGGGUCUGAUACUCCCCUGGGGCGGAGGGAGCAGCUCCCUUAAACACCCGCUCCCUGGUAGAGAAUGGGGCGGGGAGGGGUAUUAGGAUUGUUACCUUUCCACCCACUUCCCUUUCCCAAGGAGACAGGGGCGCAGCAGCUCUGUUACAGACACACACACACAUAUAGGGGGUAGCCGGGCAGCAGCUGUGAGGGCUCCUGCUCUAUGCUAGAAAAUUAGAUGGACCCAGCUACAUCACGAGGGGGUGUGAAAAAUCCACACCCCUGAGUGACAGCUAAGCUGAUCUAAGUCCCUGUGUAGACAACACUAGUGAGAUAGAAGAAUUUUUCUGUCCUCCUAGCUGCGGCCUCUCAGGGAGGUGGAUUAUCUAUGCCAAUGGGAAAACCCCUUUUAUUGGCAUAGGUAUGUCUACACUGAGGGCAUGUCUGCACUACAAAAUUAAGUCAACCUAACUUAUGGCGGCAUACAGCUGUGACAGUAAUUACAUCACUUUGCUCCUUGUGUUGGUGGUGCGCAUCCUCACCAGGAGCACUUGUACAGAUUGUACUGUCACUGCGAGGAAUUUUGGGACAGCUUGUGAAAGCCAGUAACAGUCAAUGUAAGCAACGCAGUGUGUACACCGACACUGCUUUGAUAUAACUACAUCAAUAUUGACUCUACACCUCACAUGGAGGUCAUAAACAAAAGUGAAAUGUUGUUGGUUGCAGUGUUGUAGCCAUGUUGGUCCCAGGAUAUGACAGAGACAAGGUAGGUGAGGUAAUAUCUUUUUAUUGGAUUAACUUCUGUUGGGGGAAGGUACAAGCUUUCAAGCUAUACCGAGCUCUUCAGUUCUGGGGAAGGAAGCAGUAUCAUUGUUGGCUGCCAGACUUAAAAACCAUUUGUUAACCAAAGCCAACAAAGUCAAGGCAUGUCUACACUACAAAAUUAUGUCAACCAGAGUUACGUCGGCAUACAGCCAUUGCAAUAAUUAAAUCGCUUUUGCAUAUCCGCACUAUGCUCCUUGUGUCAGCAGUGCGCGUCCUCACCAGGAGCACUUGUACCAACUGUACUGUCAGUGUGGGGCAUCUUGGGGCAGCUCCUGAAAGCCAGUAACAGUUGAUGUAAGUAACGAAGUGUCUGCACUGACACUGUGUCAACCUAACUACAUUGGCAUUGACUCUAUGCCUCUCUUGGAGGUGGAGUUAUUAAGUCAGCCUAGCGGGGCAGUUAUGUCGCGGGGAGCGAAAUGUUAGCUGACACUUAGGUCUGGUCUACACUACAAAGCCAUAUUGGUAUAACUAUGUUGCUUGGGUGUGUGAAAAAUCCUCACCCCUGAGUAACUUAAUUUUACUGACCUAACCACCCAUGUAGGCAGCGCUGUCGGCAGGAUAGCUUCUCCCAUCGACAUAACUGCUGCCUCUCAGGGAGGUGGAUUAACUACACCUAUGGGAGAGCUCUCUCCUGUCAGUUUAGAGCAUCUUCAUUAAAGUGUUUCAGCAGCGCAGCUGCAUGAACGCAGCUGUGCCAAUAAGUGUUUUAAGUGCAGACUUGCCCUUACGUAGUUAGGUCGACGUAAGCUGCCUUGCAGUGAGUGACCUUGUAGUGUAGAUCAGGCGUCAGUUAACAGAUGUAGUUUAGAGGGGGCCGUUUCACUUUCCUGUCUGCAGAUUAUCCCAGCAGCUGUCAGGAAAAAACAAAUAGUUCAUUUGCUUAUAAUGUGUUAAACUUUAUUCACACUUAGAAGAAAACAUUCAGCAAAAGAAUUUUCUCAUUAUAAAUAUUGUCUACUAAAUUUUACCGUCUCUCCAAAACACAAGUUUUUGGAGCAUGUCAGAAGUGUGUGUUAGUGACCUUUAUUCUUGAGAUCCCCUCUCUCACUGAAAGUUGAACUAAAAUAUACAUAAGGCCCCCACCCAGAUGCCCAUGGUUUUCAGUGGAUCUGUAUUUUCCACAAUGGAAUUGGUAAAAGUGUUUUUUCCUUCUCCCCAAAUGUCAUCAUAGAAGAAGGUAUGAUCCCACCAUCUUAGUAGUAUUAAAAAAACCCAGCAUAUACAUAUUUGUCUAUUACUUCUCUUCAGUGUCUGACUUAGUGUAAAGUAAGUCAAAUCAUCAGGCCAAAUGUCAAGAUAAUGGAACUCUGUCCAUUGUAAAAAAUAAUAGGACCUACAAUAAAAAAUAAAAUGAAAGAUUUUACAAGAAAUAUUAUGCUGCAGAUACACUGUAUAAAGAAAAAGAGGUCAGCAAAACAAGACCUGUAAAAUAAUAUCGGUUAUAGAAAAUUAGGACUGUAGACAGAUUAUAUUAUUUCUCAAGGGAAAAAGGAAGGCUGAGGGUGCAGACAAAUUUAUUUUCCAAAGGAGAGAAAAUAUUAGAAAUGUUCAAGCUCACACAAAAGGAGGUGAUAAUGGCAUUUCAAAGAAUGGUUGGUUAGACACAGACUAGAUCUGGGAACCACCCCAGAAUUGUGGCAGUGGGCAUAAAGAAGGUAUGGGAACCUUAAGAAGAAUCAUAUGUCUGUGAUUAUUGUCUUGCUCAUGGUCUUCGGAGAGCUGCUUGGUCGUACAUUCACUAGUCAAAACGUUCUGGACAUCAUAAAGGAACCCCAACCCAAGAUUUGUGAAUCCGACCCGUGUCCUUCCUGGUCUGUGAGAGUCAUGAACAACUGGUGUGACUGUGACUCCUAACGAAAAUAGCCAAUGCCUUGUUCAGAGAGGAAUCUUCCCUUUCACAUUUAAACACGCAAUAGUUCAAUCAACACUGAACAAACCUACCCUGGAUACUUCAGUCCUAGCCAACUGUUGCUAUGAUGUGGCUUACUUCAUAUACUAAAGGCACUGAUUUUUGCUAAGAAGUAUUCAGGAGCCAAUAGUGGGGUAGAGGAUGGGUUGCCAUCCAACUAUCAACUUAAAAAACUUCUUUAUAAAGCAAAGGGUUCAAGAUCAGACCGAACAUUUCAGCAAAGACCAGAGCAAGUAGUUAGUCUACACUGGCAACAGCAAAAAAGAGAAGACUGGGAUUAAUAAUGUAUUUAUAUUUUCUGUUACAUUUCUCACCCUAUUUUUAUAAUUUUGAUAUCAAUAAAUAUUUGUGCUGGUUAUGGGCAAUCAUCUUCCAAGGUUCUGUACUCUGGCGUCCCUUCUGCUGAAUGUCAAAAUAAAUGCAGAGAAAUUCUAAAGUGGUGGAAACUUCAUAGACUUCUUUGUGCCCAUGAAUUGCAUAUAAUCGUGCAAACAUCUGUAAACAUAUUCAGUUGCUAGUCUAUCCCAAAAUCAACAUUGAAGCAUGCAGCAUUCACAUCUUCUGAAUGCGAGAUGCAGUUUAGUAGCCUUUUAAGACAGCAUUCUAAUCUUGCUGUGACUAACUUCAGAGACCAGCAAAUCAACAUACAAGACUGGGAGCAUACAACUCACAGAAAGCUUCUUUGUGUGGUCUCUCAGAAUUUUAUCAUUAUUUUAUGCCAGAAGCCUAAAUGCUGAUUUGGGGGCAUGUGAUCACCCAGUAAUACUCUUGGAUCCCUUGGUGAUGUUGAGCUCUCACAUCACAGCAGCCAGAAGUAACGCUUUCUACCAUCUCCUCCUGUUGGCUAGAAGACACCAUUGCAUCCUGGCAGACAAAGACUUGGCCUCAGUUAUUCAUGCCUUCAUCACCUCUCGGCUGGUCUACUGCAAUGCAAUACUGUGACCCAGGGAUCCCUUGGUGCCAACUGGCAGAGGGCACAGGGGAUGCACAAAGUUUUACAGGAUCCCCUGGGUUGGAUAUCUGCAUAAUAGUUCAUGUAAAGGCGGCUUGUGAAAUCUCUACCUAGAGCCAGUAGCCCUCUGGUCAUCAUAGUCAUUGGAAAAUGUAUGGAGUUGUGUAUCUAUAUUUAAGGAGUUGUGUAUCUAUACUGAAAAUUAUGCUCUUAAAGUGUUGGAGUUAAGGCAGGUCACCAGGAGGUGACAUCUCUUAGAGAUAUUCCCCUCAAGCAGGAGGUAACUGACACCUGUUUCCCUUUCUGGCCAUUUGUCAACUGUAUGCCUCACACUUUGUGUCUAUUUGUAUGCUGAGCAGGUGCCAAUUGAGACAUUGUGAAAUCUCCAAGAAAGGAAAUCUACAGGGUGAAACAAAUAGCAAGGGGGUGUCUUCUUUAUGAAUAAAGACAAAGGAUUGGUCUGGUGUAUCUUGGAGUGCAAAGAAAUUGUCAGGACCCUCGCUACAGGGCCUGGGUCAAGCCUGGGGCCUGGAUUUGUGGGGACAUUGUCCCAGUUCAGUCUAGAGGGUCUAAGCCCAAACCAGCAGUCUGUAUUAGUGUCAAGCCAUAUGAUCAGGUUGGAGUCAAGUCAAGCCACACCAGAUCAGAGCCAUGUGAGUCAGCCAAAGUAGGAUUAGUGAAACAGAGGCAGGGUGAGAAUGCAGGAGCAGAGGACUAGGAACCAGAAGCCAGAUUAGGUAUCAGAAGCAGGAUUGGGGCCAGAAACCAGGAGCAAUACAAUGUAUCAGGAGUGAAUUGGAUGCCUCCAGAUGUUCCUCUCUUAGGCUUUAAAUAACAUGCUUCAGCCAACUAGUGAAUGCAAUAGGCUCUCCCAGUCAGCAUCUCUGUAGUUCAGUGGUGCUUGGUCCCACAGGACUCACAGUCAGUCAGUUGCUGCUCUGUCAAAGUUGUUGGGUGGUGGUGUGGAUACAGCAGAUGCUCAGGGACUAUCUGACCUAGGCCCUAGCCCUGUGGAUCGUCACAGAGACAUCCCUUGUUUUUGAAGUCCAGGCUGUAGAUUCUGAGUUACGAUUUUAUUUUUUAUGUAACCAUUUGUUUCCAAUGUAUUUUUUUACCAUGCUCAGGCAAUAAUGUUCUCUGUUUCCCUCUUUUCAAGGGCCUUCCACCUCCACAGGAUAAAUCAUGGCACCUGAAGCCUGGGUGCCUGAACCACCUUACUGUGGGGAAGAGAAAGAGAGUCUAGGAUGAGCUAAUGGGAGACCUGCUUGAUUAAACAAAUUCCAGGUUCCAACUCAACCACCAAAAGGAUAAGGAUAUUUGCAGGGAAGAAAGACACAGAGGCUGCACAGCAUGAGGAGAGACUGGCAGAUACAUUCUUGGAGAGAGUCAGGCAUGGGCAGCUCUCCUGACAAUGCUAUAGUCAGAGCUACAGGGACACCUCCACCAGAACUGCCAAAGAACCAGAAAUCUGCUCUUAGACCUUUCACAACAACGGCUGAUGGCUGGUGAAGCACUGUACACUUUGUAUUCUGUUGUA